GGAUAGGUGGCAGAGCGGUCGAUUGCGCAUCCCUGAUAAGGAGGUGGACCUUCAUCGGUCUCGUGGGUUCGAACCCCGCCCUGAAUU
rnacentral:tRNA from 26 species